UACCAGCUCUCCGAGUGGUGUGGAUGUUUAUUGGGCCUAAAGCAUCCGUAGCUGGCUGGGCAAGUCCCCUGUUAAAUCCACCGAUUUAAUCGUUGGUGUGCGGGGGAUACUGUUCGGCUAGGGGACGGGAGAGGCCGACGGUAUUUUCGGGGUAGGGGUGAAAUCCUAUAAUCCCGGGAAGACCACCAGUGGCGAAGGCUGUCGGCUAGAACGCGCCCGACGGUGAGGGAUGAAAGCUGGGGGAGCGAACCGGAUUAGAUACCCGGGUAGUCCCAGCUGUAAACGAUGCAGGCUAGGUGUUUGGGCGGCCACGUGCCGCUCUAGUGCCGCAGAGAAGUCGUUAAGCCUGCCGCCUGGGGAGUACGGCCGCAAGGCUGAAACUUAAAGGAAUUGGCGGGGAGCACCACGAGGGGUGAAGCUUGCGGUUU
rnacentral:rRNA from 1 species